CGAAAGGCAACUCAUGCUGUAAUGUGAAAAAAAGGGUGUUAUCUUUUGAGGGCUUCUUGUGAUUCCUGAGACUUUGCUUUUCCUGGAUAAAGUUUGUUUCUUUCAAGUUUCGGCUGAUUCUUUCUCACGAAAGAAAUGAAGAGUUGGC